ensembl:lncRNA ZNF561-AS1 ZNF561 antisense RNA 1 (head to head)
CCCGGGGGAUGCUCCUCCAAAGCUUUUAUCGGGCGAGCGCAGUGGCUCACGCCUGUAAUUCCUGCACUUUGGGAGGCUAAGGGUCUCACUCUAUUGUCUAGGCUCGAAUGCAGUGACGUGAUCAUGGAUCACUGCAGUCCUCAACUUACUGGGCUCAGGAUGAAAGGCUUCCUAGCACAAACACCACCCCUGGAGUUCCCGGUACAUCAAUACCAGCCUGGGGAUCACGUUCUCAUCAAGAGUUGGAAGAGGGAAAGCUUGAACCAGCUUAGGAGGACCUCAUCUGGUACUCUUGAUGAAUGAAACAGCAAUCUGAAUGGCUGAAAAAGGAUGGACCCAGCACUCCAGAGUCUCACACUGUCACCAGGCUGGAGUGCCGUGGCGCAAUAUCAGCUCACUGUAACCUCCACCUCCCAGGUUGAAGUGAUUCUCCCAUCUCAGCCCCCAAGUAGCUGGGACUACAGAGUCGCACCCUGUCACCCAGCAUGGAGUGCAGUGGUGCAAUCUUGGCUCAAUGCAACCUCCACCUCCCAGGUUCAAGUGAUUCUCCUGCUUCAGCCUCCCAAGUAGCUGGGAUUACAGGUGCACAUCACCACACCCAGCUAAUUUUUGUAUUGUUAGUAGAGAUGGGGUUUCACCAUGUUGGCUGGGCUGGUCUCGAACUCUUGACCUCAAAUGAUCUGCCCACCCCCACCUCCCAAAUUGCUGGGAUUACAGGCAUAAGCCCCCACACCCAGCCUGACCACAUUUGUUUUAGAAAAGCGCCUUUCCAUGCAUUCACUUCUUCAAGUUUUUUUUUUGUUUUGUUUUUGUUUUUUUUUUUGAGAUGGGGUCUUGCUAUGUUGCCUAAGCUGGUCUAGAACCCCUGGGCUCAGGCCACCCUCCCAAGUAGCUAAAACUAUAGGCAUGCAUCACCACAUCAUUUCAUUGAAGUAUUUAUUAGGUACCAUCAUGAGCUAGGUGCAGUUCUAGGUAUUGAGUUUUAUCAGUAAAUAAACAUGAUCAUCACAGAGGAUGUGAAGGAAGCAUUUAAUAAAUUCAAGAGGAAUUCAGCCUCAUAAACUAUGAAAUAUUGGGAAAUAAUUCAUCAUGUAAAAACUGGAUAUAAAGAAAAAACUUUUCCUGCAGGACAUUGUUGCAGGAAGUCAGGGACCCCAAACGGGGGGACUGGCUGAAGCCAUGGCAGAAAAACAUGGAUUGUGAAGGUUUCAUGGACAUUUAUUAGUUCCCCAAAUUAAUACUUUUAUAAUUUCUUAUGCCUGUCUUUACUGCAAUCUCUAAACAUAAAUUGUAAAGAUUUCAUGGACACUUAUCACUUCCCCAGUCAAUACCCUUGUGAUUUCCUAUGCCUGUCUUUACUUUAAUCUCUCAAUCCUGUCAGCUGAGGAGGAUGUAUAUUACCUCAGGACCCUGUAAUAAUUGCAUUAACUGCACAAAUUAUACAGCAUGUGUGUUUGAGCAAUAUGAAAUCUGGGCACCUUGAAAAAAGAACAGGAUAACAGCAAUGUUUAGGAAACAAGAGAGAUAACCUUAAAUUCUGACCGCCGGUGAGCCAGGUGGAACAAAGCCACAUUUCUCUUCUUUCACAAGCAAAUGGGAGAAAUAUCACUGAAUUCUUUUUCUCAGCAAGGAACAUCCUUGAGAAAGAGAAUGCACACCUGGGAGUGGGUCUCUGAACUGGCCCCCCUGGGUGUAGCCAUCUCUUAUGGUCGAGACUGCAGGGGUGAAAUAGACCCCAGUCUCCCAUAGCACUCCCAGGCUUAUUAGGAAGAGGAAAUUCCCACCUAAUAAAUUUUAGUCAGACCAGUUGAUCUCAAAACCGUCUCCUGAUAAGAUGUUAUCAAUGACAAUGGUGCCCAAAACUUCAUUAGCAAUUUUAAUUUCACCUUGGUCCUGUGAUCUCGCCCUGCCUCCACUUGCCUUGUGAUAUUCUAUUACCUUGUAAAGUACUUGAUGUCUGUGACCCACACCUAUUUGCACACUCCCUCCCCUUUUGAAAAUCCCUAAUAAAAACUUGCUGGUUUUUGCGGCUUGUGGGGCAUCACGGAACCUACCGACAUGUGAUGUCUGCCCCGGACACCCAGCUUUAAAAUUUCUCUCUUUUGUACUCUGUCCCUUUAUUUCUCAAGUUGGCUGACACUUAGGGAAAAUAGAAAAGAACCUAUGUGAAUAUCGGGGCUGGUUCCCUGACAGGACAUAACCUCUUCAAAAAAUAAAAAAGAAAUAAAAGCCUACAGCCAAACCAACAAAAUAGAGUGCAUAUCUCACCAGAACUGCAAAGACAAGUAUGCUGGUAUUACUACUUUUAGUUGGUGUUGUGCAGCGGGUUAAAAUCAGUCCAGUAAAGCAAGAAAAUAUUUAGAGAGAGCUUCAUCAUCAUACGAAUUUUGGGGGUCAUUGUUCAGUCCAAAGUACUUAAUAUGAUUCUUUUCUCUUUCCACAUAGAGAAUCAGAUAAUCUAUAAAUAAUGACUCUUACUGUUCCACUUUAGGAGUUAGGUAUACAUACAUAUGUGUAUAUAUAUGUAUAUAUAUAUACACAUACACACACACACACACACACACACAGUGACCCCCCAAAUUUCAUAUGAAGUUCCAAACCUCAAUGUGACUGUAUGUGAAAAGAGAAGGGGGCGGGGAGGGGGGAGACCGACCGACCUAUUUGUUGGUCUCCAUCGUGUGAAAACAUGAGGAAGUGGGCACUUACAUGCCAGGAAGAGAGCUCUCACUAGAGGUUGACCAUGCUGGCACUCUGAUCUCAGACUUCCAGCCUCCAGAUAUGUGAGAAUAUAAAUUUGUGUUUUGGGCCAGAUACGGUGGCUCAGGCCUGUAAUCCCAGCACUUUGGGAGGCCAAGGCAGGUGGAUCACCAAAGGUCAGAUCUGACC